rnacentral:lncRNA from 1 species
CAGACUAUCUGUGAGCAAGUUCAACGAGUGAUUAACACUUGCAGCUCAGAACAUAAAUAAUGCGCAUACAAUCUUGGAGCACAAGGGUAAAAUAUCAGUUGUAUUUCCUUGAUUUAUAAGAAGAAAAAACUAUUUUUUCUUCCACAAAAAGACUAUUCCUACCGGUCAGCGCUUAGACUUUCCACACAUGCAACAGUGGUAGUUGCUGGCGGCUGGCGGCUCUAUGUCGCUUUAAAACUGAAGUUGAAAACAAAAGAAAAUGGUAGUUGUCCCUCGCUUUCCUAAAUCUUAAAGUGAUAUUGCGAUAUUGUAAUAGGUUUCUACUCCAAGGAUGGCUGCAGGAACGAGCAGGAAGAUAUCUGCAAGGUCUCACACCAGAAGAGCCAACGAGAGCUCCGGUCCCAGCUUUCCUUCAGGUGAGUUCAAUUUGCUUCCAAAAACUGUACAUUCUAAUUGUUUACACCUUGUUUCUUGAAUCUCUGGUAAAUGUUCAGGGAUCUUUCCUACAGUACUUCUGGUUUUGCUUGCUGUGAUUUUGGCUUGGGGUUAUCAAGCAAUCCAACCACCUC